UACGUAGGGGGCAAGCGUUAUCCGGAUUUACUGGGUGUAAAGGGAGCGUAGACGGUUUUGCAAGCCAGAUGUGAAAGCCCGGGGCUCAACCCCGGGACUGCAUUUGGAACUGUGUGGCUAGAGUGUCGGAGAGGCAGGCGGAAUUCCUAGUGUAGCGGUGAAAUGCGUAGAUAUUAGGAGGAACACCAGUGGCGAAGGCGGCCUGCUGGACGAUGACUGACGUUGAGGCUCGAAAGCGUGGGGAGCAAACAGG
rnacentral:rRNA from 1 species